rnacentral:rRNA from 1 species
UGGGGGAUAUUGCACAAUGGGCGAAAGCCUGAUGCAGCGACGCCGCGUGGUGGAUGAAGGCCUUCGGGUUGUAAACUUCUUUUGCUCUGAACAAGGCAUGCCUUUGGGGUGUGUUGAGCGUAGGGGUUGAUUAGCGCUGGCUAACUACGUGCCAGCAGCCGCGGUAAUACGUAGGGCGCGAGCGUUGUCCGGAAUUAUUGGGCGUAAAGGGCUUGUAGGUGGCUGGUUGCGUCUGUCGUGAAAGCUCAUGGCUUAACUGUGGGUUUGCGGUGUGUACGGGCUGGCUUGAGUGCAGUAGGAGAGGCUGGAAUUCCUGGUGUAGCAGUGGAAUGCGCAGAUAUCAGGAGGAAUACCGUUGGCGAAGGCGGGUCUCUAGGCUGUUUCUGACGCUGAGGAGCGAAAGCGUGGGGAGCGAACAGG